CCCUUAGAUGUUCUGGGCCGCACGCGUGUUACACUGAUGCAUUCAUCAAGCGCCACACCUUGGCUCGGAAGGCCUCGGUAAUCUUGAAAGUGCAUCGUGCUAGGGAUAGAUUAUUGUAAUUUUUAAUCUUCAACGAGGAAUUCCUAGUAAACGCAAGUCAUCAGCUUGCAUUGAAUACGUCCCUGCCCUUUGUACACACCGCCCGUCGCACCUACCGAUUGAAUGGUCCGGUGAAAUCUUCGGACUCUGUGUUUAUUGAUUCGUUUCAAUUUACUACUGGAGAAAGUUGAGUAAACCUUACCAUUUAGAGGAAGGUGAAGUCGUAACA
rnacentral:rRNA from 1 species